rnacentral:lncRNA from 1 species
AAGGAUACUUUGGGCUAUCUCGAGGUUGAGGUCCUACAUCGGGAUUCCAAGUAGACUACGAUUUUUCUGUGGUUGAGGUUUUCCACAUAGCUUGUGGCUAGUUUGUUAUGGAUGAGUUGGAGCACCCCUACAGGGUUAAAUAUUUCUAAGAGCAAUGCCUGCGGUUAUGUGGAAACUCAAAAAUUUGUUUAACUCCCGG